UGUAGAGAUGAGGUCUCGCUAAUUUGCCCAGGCUGGUCCUGAACUCCUGGGUUCAACUAAUUCUCCUGCCUCAGCCUCUCAAAGUGCUGGGAUUACAGGCAUGAGACACCACGCCAGGCUGGUGGUGAGUUUUAAAAUUUUCCAGUGCCUCAGUGUUUCUACCUGUAGAAUGCCAAAAAGUAGAUGGCAUCUUUGCGAGGAUGAAGCCGACUAGCUUUUUUUAAUUUUUUUUUGAGACAGAAUUUCUCUCUUGUCACCCAGGCUGGAGUGCAAUGGUGUGAUCUUGGCUCACUGCAACCUCUGCCUCCUGGAUUCAAGUGAUUCUCCUCUCUCAGCCUCCAAGUAGCUGGGAUUACAAAGCCAGCUAGCUUUAAGAUACAGUGUUGGGCAUCACAUUUUGGCACGGAGCAGGCACUCUUUUCUUUGCCCUCAGGUGGGACUUAGCCACCACAAGCCUUCCCUGGUGUGUGCAGUGGGUGAUGAAUGCUUGCCUGCUCAGCACCCACUACAUGGUGGGCUGGGUCACAUUACUCUGACUCCCCCUUGAGCUUCAGUCCGUGCCUGGUUCAAGAUGUAUUGACUCAACUCGAGGAUCCAGAGGUGGGAUGUGGCUCUGGCCUGGCCAGAGGACCGAAGAUGCUGCAUGCCAUGGCUACAGCAACUGGUUCAGCUUUGGGCUCAUGUCCUAGUCAGAGCCAAUGAGAUGUAAUCUUGGGAUAUCUGCUGGGCUGUUGGGAAGGGGACAGGCUGCCCUGCUCAUCCCCAUUCCUGAUGCUGAGGGAUCUGAGAAAAUCACUUGUAAAAUUCGGGGGUGUUUGGAAGAUGGGGAGACUGAUGUCUCCUUCUCUCUACAGACAUCUGAUCAGCUACAGAGCUUGACUGACCUACCCAGAGGCAGAAUGAUAUGGUGGUUAAAAGUGUGCCCUGGGCCGAGAUCUUGCCACUGCACUCCAGCCUGGGUGACAGAGUGAGACUCCAUCUCAAAAGAAAAAAAAAAGUGUGCUCUGGGCUGGUCGCAGGAGUUUAUGACUGUAAUCCCAGCAGUUUGGGAGGCUGAGGCAGGAGGAUCGCUUGAAGUCAGGAGUUUGAGAUCAGACCCUAUCUCUAGAAAAAUGUUUUAAAAAUUAGCUGGGUUGGUGGUGAAUGCCUGUAGUCCCAGCUACUCAGGAGGCUGAGGCGGGAAGAUUGCUGGAGCCCGGGAGUUCAAGGCUGCAGUGAGCCAUGAUCAGGCCACUGCACUCCAGUUUGAGGGACAGAGAGAGACCCCAUCUCCCUAAAGCACAAAAAAGUGUGCUCUGGUGCCACACUGCCUGGUUAGAUCCUUUGUCCACCACUUAGAUGCAUGUUAUAUAAAUGCUCUCCUCAGUUUCCUCAUCUGUAACUUGGGGAUGAUAAUGCUGCCCCAUUAAGUGGUUAUGGGGACUAAAUUCAUGUGGGCGCAUUGGUAAGUAUUCAACAAGCUUGAUUUUUUCCUGGAGAGGGAGAAAGAGCAUACAGUGAAGUGGCAUGCUCAGGUGCAUUGGGGCAAGGAUUAUUUCCUCUGGCUUCUGCCUCCUGGGAGGUACUAAGGAUGGAUCUGAAAUGUGUCUGCAGACCCCAGAGUUGGGGACUGCAGAGGGAAAUUGAGAUCAGGGACCCCAGUCUGGCAGAAAUGGGUGCAGCAUGGGGCAUUGGGUUCCUUCCAUCAGAGGCAUGGGGUGUGUUGCAGACAGUCAUGAGAUGUGGCUGAAUCUUGCAAGGGAGCUGCAGUCCUAGGGUUGCUGCUUGAGACAAUGACCGCUGUCAGUGGAACCUGGUGACCUUCACCCUUCUCUGUCAGGCUGCAGACAGCAAGAGAUGGCAGGAGGUUACACCCAACAGGAAAAGGGCCAUUGCUAUCCCACAGGUUGCCAUAGGAGGAGAUGACAUCUCUUCCCUCUCCUCCUCCAGCAGUGUCAGCUGGGGAAGAGGUGGGUGGGGGUGCACAAAAGAGUAGACCACAGACCAUGCUCCUUCUCCUCCAGUCUGCUGGGGCCCCAAGAGAGUCUGCAGCCCUUGGCCAGGGACCGGCUGAUACAGGAGAACAAAAGAUCUCAGUCUGGGAUAACAUGGUGGUGCAGCUGAUCCUCUGGAACUCCCUGUGAGAUCAGACUGGAGCCAGUCUCCAGCUGAGACCACAUCUCACUUAGCUCCUUCCCUGCCAUAUCCUGUUUUCCUUACUCCUAUCUACUGAGAGUCCUGAAUGAAUUACAUGCACUCAAUCCCUGCCUCAGGCUCUGCUUUUAGGGAACUUGACCUAAGACAGAUAUCUUAGUACUAAAUACUUUGCAAGGCCUCAGAAGCUCUGCUAUCCACAGGCAGGUGAGAUAUUACCUUCCCUACCACCUGGCAGUCAUAGUCUAUGAUGCGAUUCAGCUUUGUGGAAGUGCUUCUGUAAAGAACUUCCCCCAACUUAAGAUGAUCUUAAUUUGCUUACUUGUUUACUGUCCAUUUAGCUGCUGUAAAAUGUGAGCUCCAAAUCAGUGGUCAUGUCUGGUUAGUUACCCAUUUCCUGGGACCUAGAACGGGCCUAGCUCAGAGCAUGUGCUCACUAUUGAUGGAAUGCAUGUUGAAAGAACGCAUGAAUCUCAUCUCCUUUUGUGGGUGAAAAACUCAUCCUAUUCUCACUCCUGAUUAACUUUCCUUCUUUUUUUUUUUUUUUUUUUUUUUCAAAACGGAGCCAUGAUCUGUCACCCAGGCUGGAGUGCAAUGGUGUGAUCUCAUCUCGCUGCAACCUCUGCCUUCUGGAUUAAAGCAAUUCUCCUGCCUCAGCCUCCCGGGUAUCUGGGAUUACAGUUGCACGCCACCACACCUGGCUAAUUUUUUGUAUUUUUAAUAGAGACAGGGUUUCACCAUGUUGGCCAGGCUUGUCUUGAACUCCUGACGUCGUGAUCUGCCUGCUUUGGCCUCCCAAAGUCCUGGGAUUACAGGCAUGAGCCACCGUACCCAGCCACUCUUGAUUAACUUAAUGGAAAUAUUUACAGAGAUUCUUUCUCUUCUGGGUUCUAGCGUCUUAUCUGUAACCUCUGCAGGUGUAUCCAGCAGCUCAAGAGAGACAUCGACCAGCGAGAAGGGGCCAUGAUGAUGGUGGUGGUUUUGUGAAAACGAAAAGGGGGAUAUGUAGGGAAAAGAAAGAGAGAUCAGACUGUUACUGUGUCUACACAGAAAGGGAAGACAUAAGAGACUCCAUUUUGAAAAAGACCUGUACUUUAAACAAUUGCUUUGCUGAGAUGUUGUUAAUCUGUAGCUUUGCCCCGGCCACCUUGCCCCCAACCACUUUGACCCAACCUGGAGCUCACAAAAACAUGUGUUGUAUGAAAUCAAGGUUUAAGGGAUGUAGGGCUGUGCAGGAUGUGCCUUGUUAACAAAAUGUUUGCAAGCAGUAUACUUGGUAAAAGUCAUCGCCAUUCUCUAGUCUCAAUAAACCAGGGGUACAAUGCACUGUGGAAAGCCGCAGGGACCUCAGCCCUUGAAAGCUGGGUAUUGUCCAAGGUUUCUCCCCAUGUGAUAGUCUGAAAUAUGGCCUCGUGGGAUGAGAAAGACCUGACGGUCCCCCAGCCCGACAACCAUAAAGGGUCUGUGCUGAGGUGGAUUAGUCAAAGAGGAAAGCCUCUUGCAGUUGAGAUAGAGGAAAGCCACUGUCUCCUGCCUGUCUCUGGGAACUGAAUGUCUUGGUAUAAAACCCGAUUGUACAUUUGUUCAAUUCUGAGAUGGGAGAAAAACCGCCCUAUGGUGGGAGGCGAGACAUGUUUACAGCAAUGCUUCCUUGUUAUUCUUUACUCCACUGAGAUGUUUGGGUGGAGAGAAACAUAAAUCUGGCUUAUGUACACGUCCAGUCAUAGUACCUUCCCUUGAACUUCAUUAUGACAUAGAUUCUAUUGCUCACAUGUUUGUUGCUGACCUUCUCCUUAUUAUCACCCUGCCCUCCUACUACAUUCCUUUUUGCUGAAAUAAUGAAGAUAAUAAUCAAUAAAAACUGAGGGAACUCAGAGGCCGUUGCCAGUGCAGAUCCUUUGUAUGUUGAGCGCCGAUCCCCUGGGCCCACUGUUGUUUCUCUACACUUUGUCUCUG
rnacentral:lncRNA from 1 species